rnacentral:snRNA from 1 species
GUGCUCACUUCUACAGCACAUAUACUAAAAUUGGAAUGAUACAGAGAUUAGCAUGGCCAAUGCGUAAGGAUGACACACAAAUUUGUGAAGUGUUCUACAUUAAA